UACAGAGGUCUCAAGCGUUGUUCGGAUUCAUUGGGCGUAAAGGGUGCGUAGGUGGCGCCAUAAGUCAGGCGUGAAAUCUCGGGGCUCAACCUCGAAACUGCACUUGAUACUGUGGUGCUGGAGUACUGGAGAGGAGAUUGGAAUUUACGGUGUAGCAGUGAAAUGCGUAGAUAUCGUAAGGAAGACCAGUGGCGAAGGCGAAUCUCUGGACAGUUACUGACACUGAGGCACGAAGGCCAGGGGAGCAAACGGG
rnacentral:rRNA from 1 species